rnacentral:rRNA from 1 species
GACGAACGCUGGCGGCGUGCUUAACACAUGCAAGUCGGACGGAAAGGCCCUGCUUUUGUGGGGUGCUCGAGUGGCGAACGGGUGAGUAGCACGUGAGUAACCUGCCCUUGACUUUGGGAUAACUUCAGGAAACUGGGGCUAAUACCGGAUAGGAGCUCCUGCUGCAUGGUGGGGGUUGGAAAGUUUCGGCGGUUGGGGAUGGACUCGCGGCUUAUCAGCUUGUUGGUGGGGUAGUGGCUUACCAAGGCUUUGACGGGUAGCCGGCCUGAGAGGGUGACCGGCCACAUUGGGACUGAGAUACGGCCCAGACUCCUACGGGAGGCAGCAGUGGGGAAUAUUGCACAAUGGGCGGAAGCCUGAUGCAGCAACGCCGCGUGCGGGAUGACGGCCUUCGGGUUGUAAACCGCUUUCGCCUGUGACGAAGCGUGAGUGACGGUAAUGGGUAAAGAAGCACCGGCUAACUACGU